rfam:Coprobacillus sp. CAG:826 genomic scaffold, scf4
AGCGUAAAUCGGUAGGCGAGACUACCACAAAGAUACGGAUUGUUGCCGCGAAAUAGUGGAGACACUAUGAGAAGGUUAACAAGGAAUGUCGACAUCAAGGCAUUCUUUAAUACAAUUUCAUCGCUUUGUGAUGUUGAAGCUCACACGUUGGAUUUGAGAA